rnacentral:misc_RNA from 1 species
AACUUUUAGCAAUGGAUCACUUGGCUCUCCCAUCGAUGAAGAACGCAGCGAAAUGCGAUAACUAAUGUGAAUUGCAGAAUUCAGUGAAUCAUCGAAUCUUUGAACGCACCUUGCGCCCUUUGGCUAUUCCGAAGGGCAUGCCUGUUUGAGUAUCAUAAACACCUCAACUCUCAUGGUUUGCCAUGAUGAGCUUGGACUUUGGGGGUCUUGCUGGCCUAUGGUCAGCUCCUCUCAAACGAAUCAGCUUGCCAGUGUUUGGUGGCAUCACAGGUGUGAUAACUAUCUACGCUUGUGGUUUUCCACCAGGUAACCUUCAGUGAUGGAGGUUCGCUGGAGCUCAUAAACGUCUCUCCUCUGCGAGGACAACUUUUUGAAUGUUUGAUCUCAAAUCAGGUAGGACUACCCGCUGAACUUAAGCAUAUCAAUAAGCGGAGGCU